GAUGAACGCUGGCGGCGUGCCUAAUACAUGCAAGUCGAGCGAACGGACGAGAAGCUUGCUUUUCUGAUGUUAGCGGCGGACGGGUGAGUAACACGUGGAUAACCUACCUAUAAGACUGGGAUAACUUCGGGAAACCGGAGCUAAUACCGGAUAAUAUUUUGAACCGCAUGGUUCAAAAGUGAAAGACGGUCUUGCUGUCACUUAUAGAUGGAUCCGCGCUGCAUUAGCUAGUUGGUAAGGUAACGGCUUACCAAGGCAACGAUGCAUAGCCGACCUGAGAGGGGGAUCGGCCAACCAGGAAAGGAGACCCGGUCCAGCCCCCUAGGGGAGGCAGCAGAAGGGAAUCUUCCCGAAUGGGCGAAAGCCGGAGGGGGCAACCCCGCGGGAGGGAUGAAGGUCUUUGGAUCGUAAAACUUUUUUUUUAGGGAAGAAAAUAUGUGUAAGUAACUGUGAACCUCUUGGCGGUACCAAAGCAAAAAGCCACGGCUAACUACGU
rnacentral:rRNA from 1 species